rnacentral:rRNA from 1 species
UACGUAGGGUGCGAGCGUUGUCCGGAAUUACUGGGCGUAAAGAGCUCGUAGGUGGUUUGUCGCGUUGUUCGUGAAAACUCACAGCUUAACUGUGGGCGUGCGGGCGAUACGGGCAGACUGGAGUACUGCAGGGGAGACUGGAAUUCCUGGUGUAGCGGUGGAAUGCGUAGAGAUCGGCAGGAACACCCAGGGGGAAACCAGUCGACUGGGCAGCACCUGACGCUGAGGUGCGAGAGCGUGGGGAGCGAACCGG